rnacentral:rRNA from 1 species
UACGUAGGGUGCAAGCGUUGUCCGGAAUUAUUGGGCGUAAAGAGCUCGUAGGCGGUCUGUCGCGUCGGACUGUGAAAUCCCGAGGCUCAACCUCGGGUCUGCAGUCGAUACGGGCAAAGCUAGAGUUCGGUAGGGGAGACUGGAAUUCCUGGUGUAGCGGUGAAAUGCGUAGAUAGUGCGGAGGAACACCGAUGGCGAAGGCGAAU